GACGAACGCUGGCGGCGUGCUUAACACAUGCAAGUCGAACGGAAAGGCCCUGCUUUUGUGGGGUGCUCGAGUGGCGAAGGGGUGUGAAACACGUGAGUAACCUGCCCUUGACUUUGGGAUAACUUCAGGAAACUGGGGCUAAUACCGGAUAGGAGCUCCUGCUGCCUGGUGGGGGAUGGAAAGUUUCGGCGGUUGGGGAUGGAUUGGCGGUUUACCAGCUUGUUGGUGGGGGAGUGGUAUACCAAGGGUUUGACGGGUAGCCGUCAUGGGCGCGGGACCGGGCACAAGGGUACUGAGGGACGCCCCAGACUCCUACGUUGGGCAGCAGUGGGAAACAUGGCGCAAUGAGCCGGAGUGUGAGGCGACAACGCCGCGUUCGUGAUGACGUCCUUCGGGUGGAAAACCGCUGUCGCCUGAGACGAAGCGUGAGUGACGGUAACGGAUAAAGAAGCACCGGCUAACUACGUG
rnacentral:rRNA from 1 species